rnacentral:rRNA from 1 species
GACGAACGCUGGCGGCGUGCCUAAUACAUGCAAGUAGAACGCUGAAGGAGGAGCUUGCUUCUCUGGAUGAGUUGCGAACGGGUGAGUAACGCGUAGGUAACCUGCCUGGUAGCGGGGGAUAACUAUUGGAAACGAUAGCUAAUACCGCAUAAUAGUAGAUGUUGCAUGACAUUUGCUUAAAAGGUGCAAUUGCAUCACUACCAGAUGGACCUGCGUUGUAUUAGCUAGUUGGUGAGGUAACGGCUCACCAAGGCGACGAUACAUAGCCGACCUGAGAGGGUGAUCGGCCACACUGGGACUGAGACACGGCCCAGACUCCUACGGGAGGCAGCAGUAGGGAAUCUUCGGCAAUGGACGGAAGUCUGACCGAGCAACGCCGCGUGAGUGAAGAAGGUUUUCGGAUCGUAAAGCUCUGUUGUAAGAGAAGAACGAGUGUGAGAGUGGAAAGUUCACACUGUGACGGUAUCUUAUCAGAAAGGGACGGCUAACUACGUG